AAAUAAUAUAUCUUAUUAGUUAAUUAAUGUAUAUGGAAUUUGUAUGAAAAAUAAUUUAUUUUUUAGUAAUUUUUAAUGAAAUUUGAAAAUUAAUUAUAGUUAAAGAGUACUGUAAGGGAAAGAGAAGUUUAAAGAAAGAAAGGUAAAAGUAGUAAUUGAUUUAUGUACCUUGGGUAUCAGGGAAAAUUAAUAUAAAUAUUAGAGACACUAAAGAUCUCGGAAUAAAAAUAGCUAAUUCUGUAGGAAAGUUUUUGUGGCAUAAAGAUUAUGAAUAUGGGGUUGAAGAUGAAAUGUUAAACGAGUUUUAUGAUAUCUAGUUUUCUGAGAAGUAAAUAUAAUUUAGUUUUUAUAGGAAUAUAAUAUAAGAUUAAAAAAUAGGAGGGAUGAGCUUCUUAUUAUAGGAUUUUAAAUAGUUGUAUAAUUAAAUAGACGAUAGUUAAUUUAAGUUUAAAAGUAGCUAUGUUUAUAAAGUGUUAUAACUAAAAUUAUUGUUAAUAAAUAAUAUACAACUUUAAAAAGUAUCGGAAAAUUAUUUAAAAUAUUGGAGUAUGAGAUAAAAUGAUUUUAUUAGUAGAGUUUAAAAUUAAGUAGAAAAAUUAAAUUAGGAAGAAAAUUUUAAAAGUAGAAAGAUAAUUUAAAGGAAUUCGGCAAAAAUAUUUCUUUGCCUGUUUAUCAAAAACAUGUCUGUUUGGAGAUAUAAAAAGUCUGGCCUGCCCACUGAUUGGAUAAAAGUUUUUAAGGGCCGCGGUAUUAUGACCGUGCAAAGGUAGCAUAAUCAUUAGAUUUUUAAAUGGAAUCUUGUAUGAAUGGUCGAACAAAAGAAAAACUGUCUUUAAAAUAAUAUUUGAAUUUAACUUUUAAGUGAGAAGGCUUAAAUAUAUUAGGGGGACGAUAAGACCCUAUAAAGCUUUAUAUUAUGGUUGAAUUUAAUUGAAUUUUAAUAAUAAGAAUUUAGUUUAAUUGUUUUAUUAUGUUGGGGCGACAAAAGUAAAAUUUGUAAUAACUGCUAGUAAAGAUGACAAUUAUAAGUGGGUUAACGAGGUAAAAGAUCCUAUGUUUAGAUUAUAAGAUUAAGUUACUUUAGGGAUAACAGUGUAAUUUUUUUUGAGAGUUCAUAUCGAAAAAAAAGUUUGCAACCUCGAUGUUGAAUUAAGAUAUCUGUAUAAUGUAGAUGUUAUANAAGNNGGUCUGUUCGACCUUUAAAUUUUU
rnacentral:rRNA from 1 species